UAUCUUGACGGUUGUAAAUAGGCUUAUGAAAAACCUCAAACUCUGCUCCAUUUGUCUCCAACUGUCUAAUAUGGGAUGAAAUGUUCUUGGCUGUCAUGAUGAUGAAAGCGUUCCCUGCAGACAUGGAACAAAGUUCUAUGUGAGCCCCGCCCACUUUGAGUCUGAUUUAAGGAUGAGACUCAGCCUCAACCAGCACAACUUCAGCUUCAGCUGCUCUGUCUGGUCCUGCUCCAGACCGUCUUCAGAGGAAACAACUUCUCCCAGAAGUCUAAGGGAAGAAACUUUUCCUCCUUUUGCAACAAGCUCAGUCUUUUCAAGUCAACGACAACAUGCCGUACAUAGCACCAUAUAGCCUUGUUGGUGGACGAGGAGGAGACCCGUUCAGUUUUAACGGUGCACAAAAUGGAGCUGUGCUUAAAAAGCUGGAUGUGUGGGCCGGACCAACCCAAGUGAGAUGUAUAAAGAUCCAGAUGUCUGACGGAAAUGAAAGGAUGUUUGGGAGAGAGGGUGAUAAUCAUUACUCUUUCACUUUUGAGGAUGGAGAAAAAUUUUCCUCUCUCACUCUUUGGCCCAACAAUGCUGGAAAUCGUCUGGGUGGCUUUAAAUUCACAACAUCAAAGAACCGAAAUUUUGAGGCUUUUAUGACAAAUGGAAAGCCUUCGGUACCGGCAACACCAGUAAAUGUUGGCUCUGGAAUCUGUUUUGGAGUUCAGGGCAGGUCAGGAUUUGAAAUUGAUGGAUUUGGGUUCAUGUUCUUCAAAGUUUCUUAGUGAAACGGUUCUGGAGGGCUAGAUGGUGAAACAAUAACCUGUGUGGGUUCAGCUUCUUGAUGAGGACAGAAAUCAAUGUGUUUGACAGAAAUGAUUUCACCUUCUAGCCUCCAGACAAAGACAACAGCUAAUGAUAUCUGCUGUCAUGAAAAGGGUUUGGUUCUUUGAAACAAUCAGAUGACAUCUUUGAACAGAUGUGUUCCUGCUGCAUCUGUGGCUGAUGGGGACAAUCACCUCUUUGAUGGUUUUUCUUUGAUUUCUUCAUCUAGUUUGUGUUUUUUUCUUUGGACUUUUACUGCAGUUUUCUGAAUGUUUCCAUCAGAUUUUUGAAUUUGCUGUCAUUUUUCCUGCUGUACUGAGAAACUCCUGAUGAUUUUCCUGUUAUUGUCACUGGAAUCCAAUGUUUCUGUUGUCCUCAUCAUCUCUUCUGGAAAUGGCAUUCUAUCAGUAAAUCUUGUUGGUGUGGACGCUGGAAAAAGCCCUUCAGUUCAUGUCAAAUCACUGUUUGUGCUCAUCUAGUCUGUAUGAUUUGGAAAAUAAAAACCUCAACCAAA